CAGCAGCCUCACCCUCCACAUUCUUACAGUGCAUUGGAAAACAAGAGGCAGAGAAAGAAGCACAUAAAGGAGGAAUAUUGAUUGCCUGAUGGCACCCAAUCUUUAAUAUUGUAGUGGAAGCCUUCAUCUCAACAGGCCAGAGAGACCUGACCUGUCUCAGUCAGACAUUACUCACAGUGCAGAGGGUCUCGAAUACUUUGUCCGACACAAAGGAUCCAUCCAGACCGAAAAGGAAGAUGGAAGCGUACGACAGCAUGCCUCCCAGUAUGAUUAG